CCCUGGGUGGGGAAGAUCCCCUGGAGGAGGGCAUGGCAACCCACCCCAGUAUUCUUGUCUGGAGAAUUCCCAUGGACACAGGAGCCUAGAGGGCUACAGUCCAUAGUUCGAAAAGAGUCAAACACGACUGAAGUGACUUAGCAGGCAUGCACCAUAGUACUGUUUUGAAGCUCCCCAGGUGACUCUAAUGAGGAAACCGCUGAGCUGGAAGAACUCAAGAGCGACUGAUUAGGAAUUUGUUUGCUUUGGGGCCUGCUCCCAUUUAUCCUAUUGCAACUAAAGAGCUACACUUACCUUGUCACAGAACAAAAUUUCCACAGGAAGACACUGAAGGAUGGAGCUACUUGAAUAACAGAGCGAUUUGAAUCCCACUUCUCUCCAUCUUACCCAGUCCAGUCCUGACCUCCUUCCAGAAGAAACAAGGAGUGGCUGUGGAUGGGGAGAAUGAACAAUGCCCUCUGAGUGUAAGGCUACCAACAUGCCUACAUGACUGCAUCACAGCCAGAGCUGCAAAUACUGUUGAGAGUGCUGCACGGGCCUGCUCUGUGUCCGGCUCAAGGGCUGGGCUGAGGAAGAAGGUGGAGCUCAAGUCUGCAGAGCUUCCCAAGAAGGAACCAAGGGGCGCAGCGCCUCGCCUCCCUUCCAUGCCUGCCGCCGCUCGAG
rnacentral:lncRNA from 1 species